UAAAAGAACACUUUUCAUUUGAAACUUCAGUAGUUGGUUCAACUCUGUGGAAAUGAGAGUGUUUUUGUUUUUGGCUCUUCUUGCUGUGUCAGCAGUAAAUGCUGCUGAAAAAACAAAAACUGGACUGGAUAAGUCACCG